rnacentral:rRNA from 1 species
AGAGUUUGAUCCUGGCUCAGAGCGAACGCUGGCGGCGUGCUUAACACAUGCAAGUCGAGUGCGCGUUUCUGUAGCAAUACAGGAAUGGCGCACGGCGCACGGGUGCGUAACACGUGGGCAAUCUGCCCUCCGAUGGGGAAUAACCCCGCGAAAGCGGGGCUAAUACCGCAUAACAUUCCGGGAACUCCGGUUUCAGGAAU